AUGUAUUUAUAUUCAUUCACUCAAUGGACAAGUUUAGGCUCAAAAGAUGAAUGAAGCUCUGUGCAGGGGGCUGUGCUGCACAGAAAGCCCUUGCCACCCAGGAACUCAGUGUGUCUGGGGACACGCUAUCAACACAAGAAUCCACAGCCUGCAGUUAAAAUGCCGAGACAGAAGUUACACCACAUGCCAUGGGAACAGCGUGGGGACUCAAGAACUCUGCUUCUCGAUGAGUUCCUUCACGUCCAAACGUAUCUCUACAUUACUUACUCUCUUUACCUCUGGCAAGGUUGAAUGGCCUUAUUUUACCCAACACCAGGAAUCUUCCAGGAACUCCAGACAGACUCAGGCAGGUGAGGUCAGGCAGGCAUGUGUUCAUGGAAGGAAGUGGGCAAGCAGCUGCGGGGGCAGACAGGCCUGCCGAUAGCCUCUCACUCAGGAAGAACUCUGCCUGCCACCCAUCCCGGAGCUGGGGAGUAGACAUCCAAGGGUGGACCAUGGAGAGAAAUGACUUUAGCAAAGCCCCACCAUAUGAGCAGAGCCUGUGUCCACGACAUCUCAUCAAAUUAAAAAAAGCAUCAUGAUGGGUCCCUGAAUUAUUUCUUUAGAACAGGCUCCUGAAGCUGGAGUCCCUAGCGUCAGCAGGAGUGCGCUUUGAAUUCCUGCCCUUGCCCUGCAGGUAGGUUGUAACACUAUUUCUAGCAGCAGUUUAUGAGCACGAACAGCUAUGGUCCUUGUUAACAUUUAAGAUCUUUUUAAAUCUAUGCUGAUUUGGGGCUAUAAAUAUCUCACUAAGGCUUUUUCACAUUUAUUGAUCAUUUGCAUUUCAUUAUAUUCUAUCUGAAUUGCCUUUUUGUAUUCUCUCUGCUUUUAAAAACAGUUGUUUACCUUUUUCUUAAUGUUUUAUAAGACCUUUUUAUAUAAUAGCUAUAUUAAUCCUUUUAUACGCAUUUGACAAGUCCUUUCCUGCCCACACCCUCUUACAAAUUUUCCUUAUCUCUUAACUUUAUAUCUGGCAGGUGGUUGUUUUAUUUCAAAGCACAUUUAAAAUUUUUACGUAUUAACAUGUAUUAAUCUUUUCCUUAGAAUAUGUCAGAUUUUGGUUACAUGCUUAGAAAGAACUUUCGCAAUCUAAAUUUUCAUACAACUUUUCACUCUAUAUUUUCUUCUAUUGCCUUUAUGGUUUCUCCUUUUUUUUUUUUAACUUUAAAAUAUUUAGCCCAUCUGGAAUUCAUUUCAGUCUGAGGUAUGAAUUUAACACUAUUUUCCCCUGAAAUGAUUAGUAGCCUGUCACAACACGUUCCCUGGCUAAUCCUUCCUUUUUCCAUAGAUUUAAAGAGACAUCUUUACACAUGUACCUCGUCCCAUGUGCUUCUGUGGCACUUCUUGUGGGCAUCACAUCAUGAUGAGAGAUGGUGGCACCUGUUAGGGGAACCUCUCUGACUCAGCACUUUUGUUACUUCCAGGUAAAAACUCUGGAAUAUACAUACACACUGUUGGGAUGUUGACUGGCAUUUUGUUAUAUUUGCAGAUUACAGAGAAUUAUGAUAGUCUCAUUAAAUAUAAUAAACAUUUUGUUUCUUCCUU